CAAGGAGUAGUUUAGUUUGAGAAUUCUAGCUUUGGGAGUUAGAGGUAGGAGUUAAAAUCUCCUCUCUUUGA
rnacentral:tRNA from 1 species